ensembl:lncRNA
CAUGUGCGUGUUAGAGAAAUGCCUCGUUUGAGAAAAAGUUAAAGUAACCCAUAUACAGACGCACCCAUACAUGCAAUGAAGAAACAGCUUACAUACAUGUGCACGUACAUGCAAGGUUAAAGUAGCGACACUUAACAUACACCUGUUUUUAAAUGAUAUAGUUCAUACAUUACUGACAAUUAAACGCUUUGGGUUGCAGGACAACAACGUAACGUCAAAAGACAAAGACACUGGUCUGAGGAUUAAGUGAGGACACGACAAAUUUAGUGGUUAAAAGGGUCGACUUGGGACAUGUUUUUGUUGAUUGUUUAAGACAAAUGACUACUGAAUGAUAGGAAAUUCCUUUUUAGGUUUCUAAACAGGAUCUUAAGAAUUUUAACACGUACCUGUGUUGUCCUGUCAACUUGAGGGGUUAUGAGUUGAUUAUAUGGAGAAAAAAAAAAAAAAAAAAAAAAAAAAAAAAAAAAAAAAAAAAAAAAAAAAAAAAAGGGGGAGACGAGAUCUCGUUGUUUCUCCCCUCUCGGGAUAACACAGCCAACACAGCACAGCCAACACAACAUCAUUUUCCUGUUCGCCUGUUUUCCGAAGCUGACCUGGACUCCUACCCUCCCCUCUACCAUCGUUGCCCUCUCCGCGACCAUCUUUGACCCUUUGACCCCUGAAGGCCACAGCAGCUGGACUCACAACAACAACUUGAGGAUGUCAACAGUGCUGCAAAAGAGUGAUCUCAUGCAGCAGAGACGGAGAGCACUAAACCUAAAGCCCGUUUCACUACACGGGGGAAAUUCCCAGGCUGCGUCAGCUGACAGAGCUGUGACGAGACGCGCAUUAAGCCCGGAGGAAAAGGGACGGUGAGCAGAAGGAUGCUGACCUCUGAGAAGAGCCGAACAGCAGAGCUGCAGAAGGCCGUGGAGCAAAGUAAGGAAGAUGCAGGCAGCUGCAACAACGGAUGAAAACAGACCCAAAGAGGAGGGGAGGACCCUAGGCCAUGCGUCAGGCCGCUGGUUUACCUAAACUACAGAACAGGAAGGUGAUGAAC